rnacentral:rRNA from 1 species
UACGUAGGGUGCGAGCGUUAAUCGGAAUUACUGGGCGUAAAGCGUGCGUAGGCGGUUCGCUGUGUCCGAUGUGAAAGCCCCGGGCUUAACCUGGGGAAUGGCAUUGGAAACUGGCGGGCUUGAGUGCGGGCAGAGGGGGGGUGGAAGUUCCGCGGUGUAGCAGUGAAAUGCGUAGAGAUGCGGAGGAACACCGAUGGCGAAGGCAGCCCCCUGGGUCGACACUGACGCUCAGGCACGAAAGCGUGGGGAGCAAACAGG